CCGCAGGUGUCCCUUCCUGAGGAAAGUCCCCCCUCCUUCGGGCAGCCGGCCUCGCGCAAGCGGUGGUCCUGAGAGGGACGGCAACGGAGCAGAAACGACACAGCCCGCGGAGCAGGAUGAUUCCCUGCGGAUGACAUUUCCGUGGGAGCUGUUGAAACGGCCGACCCCGGCGGAGCAAGCCCAAAUCGUGCCUAUGAGUUGCCCGACGAGGCGCAGGUAGGGUGCUUAGUCGGAUGCCGCCACGAGGG
rnacentral:RNase_P_RNA from 1 species